UUAUUUAUUUAUUUAUUUAUUUUUCCCUUUGCAGGCUGAGAGUGCUAUUGCGGCUCUUAACUGCAGUGGUGCAGUCUUAGGAUCACUGCCGAUAAGGGUAAGCCCGUCGAAGACCCCUGUUCGACCACGAUCACCUUGCCAAUCCAUGCACUGAACUGCUUGUGGAGUUUCUCUUGAACUGGUCUUCUGAUCAAGCACUCUCCUUGAGUACGUACAUAAAUAGAUACCAGUACUUUGUGGUAUUUAUGUUUUUAUUUUCUCCGUUGCAUCUCAGCUGGGACGGUUUCAUCUGCAAGGGAUAAUUAUGGUCGCCUUUUUAGCUUGUAGAGUAGGAUCCUUUUUGAGGCUUAAACUUGGUUAUGCAAUUAUGUUGAGUACUGGAAAGGCAGUGCCUCGAAGUAAUAUACUGUUCCUUGCUUCCAACUUCUUAAGUUAAAAAUUUAGUUGCAAAUUUCUGUCUUUUCUAUGCCAAGUCAUUUGUUAUGAAUGUCUCUA